GAUGAACGCUGGCGGCGUGCCUAAUACAUGCAAGUCGAGCGGACGGACGAUAAGCUUGCUUCUCUCUUGUUAGCGGCGCACGUGUGAGUAACACGUGUAUACCCUCCCUAUAAGACUGGUAUAACUUCGGGACUCCGGAUCUAAUACCGUAUAAGCUCUUGAACCGCAGGGUUCAAAGGUGAAAGACGGUCUUGCUGUCUCUUCUAGCUGGUUCCGCGCUGCAUUAGCUGGUUGUUAAGUUAACGGCUUACCAAGGCAACGAUGCAUAGCCGACCUGAGAGGGUGAUAGGCGACCCUGGAAGUGGGACACGGUCCAGACUCCUACGGGAGGCAGCAGUAGCGAAUGUGCCGCAAUGGGCGAAAGCCUGACGGAGUAAGGCGGCGUGAGUGAUGGAGGUCUUCGGAUCGUGAAACUCUGUUAUGAGGGAAAAACAUAUGUGUACGGAACUGUGCACAUCGUGACGGUAACUAAUCAGAAAGCAACGGCUAACUACGUG
rnacentral:rRNA from 1 species